GAUGAACGCUGGCGGCGUGCCUAAUACAUGCAAGUCGAACGCUGGAAAUCUAGCUUGCUAGAUUGAAGGAGUGGCGAACGGGUGAGUAAUACAUAAGCAACCUACCCACGAAGACUGGGAUAAUCUCUGGAAACGGGGACUAAUACCGGAUAGGUAAUCGGAAGGCAUCUUCUGAUUAUUAAAGGUUAAAAACACUGGUGGAUGGGCUUAUGGCGCAUUAGUUAGUUGGUGAGGUAACGGCCCACCAAGACGAUGAUGCGUAUCCGGCCUGAGAGGGUGAAAGGCCACAUUGGGACUGAGACACGGCCCAGACUCCUACGGGAGGCAGGAGUAGGGAAUUUUCGGCAAUGGGGGAAAACCUGACCGAGCAACGCCGCGUGAGUGAUGACGGCCUUCGGGUUGUAAAGCUCUGUUGUAAGGGAAGAACGGUAGAUAGAGAAUAUCUAAAUGACGGUACCUUACCAGAAAGCCACGGCUAACUACGUG
rnacentral:rRNA from 1 species